UGGAGCAGCACUGAGCAGGCUUCAGGAGAGAGUAACACUGUUCCCGUGGUGGGCCACAGCUGUCUCCGCCAUCUCGAAUACUGCCUGGCACACAGGAAGUCGGCGAUAACUUUCCAUCGCGUGGCCUCCGUCUCCUCUUCCGCCCACCUG